rnacentral:lncRNA from 1 species
CACGAUUGGAACUCCAACAAGGAAACAAAACGGUACUCUCGUACUAAAGCCCAAACCAAAAAAGCGGGUCUGGAUCCUUGUAAUUUGGAUCUUCAAUUUGUAAAAUGUGAAUCAACUCAACUGGAAUCCGAAUUCUAAAACGAUUCUGGGAUAGGAGGCCUCGAGAGCACCAAAUAAAUUACGGUGUAGUGGAUUUUUCUUAAAAUUUCUGAGAGCAGAAGGGAAGUAUUUGAAGAUGUUGGGCGCAUUGAAGGGACAGCCGCUGGUUACGAAGCUGGCAAAGGUGGCGCAAUACGGCAUUCUUCCUGGAGCCAUGAUCGCCGCCCUCUUUUACUCACCUCCCGAUUAUGCUUCACCCAAAAAACCGUCUGAUUCUAAACCCCCCAGUUCUUCUUCCCAUUAGAUUCAAGGUGCAUUUUUUUUGGCAUUUAUCAGUUUCAUUUAAUUCGCUUUUCUUUAAUUCAGGGUUAGGGUUAGGGUUAGGGUCAGGGUUAGGUUUAUGGUUUUUGAUAUUUAUAUUGCUGGAUCCGUUGUGCUUAUGACUAUCUGUUGGUUUAAUUCCUCUUUGGUAAAUGGUAAUUUAAAGGAAAGAAAGAGGGAAAAUAGUGGAUAAGAGAGAAUUAAUCUGAUAAUGUUACUGUUAAUUUAAUUAACAAACGUAUAGAUCUGGGUUGUUAAUUUAACCACUAUUCUAGCAAAAAAGAAAAAAAAAAAAAAGUUUUUUAAUCUGAUAAAUCUAUUGCUUGCAAAAAAAAAAAUUCCUUGUAGUUCGUGAAGAACUGCCGUGGGAAUUUUGUGUUCUUCAUUCACAUGGAUGAAAAAUGUGUGAAAAGUAGUUAUGUGGGGAUGUAAGGGUUAACAGGGGAAGAGAUAUUUACCUGGAGAGACAAAUGUAAAGGGGAAAAUUUUCAGAUAAUUAUUUCAAUUCAAAUGAGAAUAAUAGCAUUGUAAGGUUUUGUGAAAUUAUGACUGCAAUGUGAAGGUGGAAAGAUAUGAACCAAAGAAUUCAAAUUGAAAGAAAAUUGUGUUGGGAAUGAAUCCGUUUGUUUGUAAGGUGAAUUCUUGUGUUCUUUCUUUUGGUGAUUUCAGCUGCUUUUUUAUUGUAGAUUUUGGUAAAAUUGUUCAUAUUUGUUGUUUAGCAUUCAUAGGGGAAUGAAGCUCUGCGAAGUGACCAACUAUAUUAGCCUAAUAGUAAUAGCUAUCUCUGUAUCGUAGUUCUUGUAAAUGCCUUAAAUAUUCUUUUAUGAAGCUCAAUUUAGAGGGGUCUAAGUAACUAACUGAUCGACUUGUUGCAUGACCAUAAUUUCCGUAUUUGUUGUGUUGCAUAAAUAGUACUAACGUGUAGUUUUAAUGAAUGAAGAUUAGGAAAGGGACUGAGCUGUCAAACUCACGCGCGACUUCGUUCUUGAUGCAGGGCUCUUGGCUGGUUAAACAUGCAUCUUUCUAUUUCCUUGUGAUAUGUUAGUUUAAUAUGGCAAGUAAUAAAUAAUUAUUGCUGCUUUUGUUUCUAUGUACCAGUUGUAAACAAUCAGGAUUUUGGGUUUCAGUAUCUUUUGAAGAAAAUUGUUGCUUUCCUGUUAUGUCCUGCUAACAUUUGAGAGAUUUCGUUAUAUGCAAAUCUUUUUAAUUUAGCUCCUAUGCAUA